rnacentral:rRNA from 1 species
UAAUAUUGUUAGUAUAUAAGAAUUAUGAAAACAAAAAAUUGUGGCGGUACUUUAAGCUUUUCAGAGGAAUUUGCUCUUUAAUGGAUAAAACACCUAAACCUUACUAAAAUUUGUCAUUUCAGUUUGUAUACCACUAUAAAAGUAAAAGUUCAUAAUAAUUUCUAUAAUUUUUUAUAAAAAAAGAAAAUUAAGUCAUGGUGCAGCUAAAAUUUAAGAAUGAAGUGAAUUACAUUUUUUUUUAAUUAAUUAAUUAAUUAAAAAAGAAUAUAGGAUUUGAAAGUAAAAAUUUAAUAAAAUGAAAUUUUGAAUUACCCUCUG